rnacentral:lncRNA from 1 species
CACUUGAAGCCUCGGCACGUCCGACCGAUGCCCGCAACUACCCAACUCGGCACCGUGUGACGAAGCCGGCACCUCGACAAGAGGGACUCACGCAUCAAGAAAUCCGAGUUGGUCCGCGAGGAACUGUCGAAGCCCUUGAUGCAUCCCCGACAAGUCCUACGUGCCCGGACGACACCAAGCCAAAGCACCAGCCUGCACCCGGCCGCGUGCGACCGGGAUUCGGCAUGGAAGACGGCUCGGUCGAAUUGCCCACAACGCCAUGGAAAAACGCACCAGCAUGCCUGGGACAGCUUGCUGGGGCGCUGGGGGGGAGCCCCAUGGCAUGCCAUCCUGACCCACCAAGGUGCGUGGGCAGGCAGGCAGCUUCCCCCCUAUAGUAGGCUAAUGUGCAAAAACCCACUCUGCACCACCGGACAUCCUUUUCUCUGGGGAGACAUACUGGGUUUUUUUAGGCUAGAGGUCGAAUUUUGCCCUGAUUUUUUGCACACGUGCUCUUAAAAAUGGGAGAAGGUGGUCCACGAAGUUUCACGAUUUUUCUCCAAGCCGAUAAUUUAUCGUGAUUUUUCUAAGCGGCGAGCAUUACAUAAUGCAACACUUGAAGCCUCGGCAUGUCCGACCGAUGCCCACAACUACCCAACUCGGCACUGUGUGACGAAGCCGGCACCUCGACAAGAGGGACUCACGCAUCAAGAAAUCCGAGUUGGUCCGCGAGGAACUGUCGAAGUCCUUGAUGCAUCCCCGAUAAGUCCUACGUGUCCGGACAACACCAAGCCAAAGCACCAACCUGCACCUGGCCGCGUGCGACCGGGAUUCGGCAUGGAAGACGACUCGGUCGAAUUGCCCACAACGCCAUGGAAAAACGCACCAGCAUGCCUGGGACAGCUUGCUGGGGCGCUGGGGGGGAGCCCCAUGGCAUGCCAUCCUGACCCACCAAGGU